UACGGAGGGUGCAAGCGUUAUCCGGAUUCACUGGGUUUAAAGGGUGCGUAGGUGGGCAGUUAAGUCAGUGGUGAAAUCUCCGAGCUUAACUCGGAAACUGCCAUUGAUACUAUCUGUCUUGAAUAUCGUGGAGGUAAGCGGAAUAUGUCAUGUAGCGGUGAAAUGCUUAGAUAUGACAUAGAACACCAAUUGCGAAGGCAGCUUACUACCCGAAUAUUGACACUGAGGCACGAAAGCGUGGGGAGCAAACAGG
rnacentral:rRNA from 1 species